AGUGAAGGUCAAUGGGACAGUGUUGUUAUAUUUCUUAAUUGGAAUACUACAGGUUGGGGUUGACAUGAGGCUCCCAUAGUUCUGGCUGUUCCCCAAGCUAACCAUAGUGCGCGAAAGGCCGAUGUUACUCCACAGCUGCUGUCAUAGUUAUUAAUAGACUUCCAGCCUGAACCCCGUUACCAGGCUGCUUUCCUAAGGGCCUCUUGGAAAAAGAGUAGACUUGAUGGGGCAAAGACUCAACGAUCUCAAAAGACUUUUUUUAGACUUGUUUACAAAUGUGUAAAUGUUAUUGGAACAUGAGUUAAAUCUUUUACAUACUGUAUAUCUCUGAAUGCAUCUGUGUGAAUGGAAUGUAUUGUGAUCUUUGUCUCUGGUGUCUAAAAGUGCCUCAAGGAACUCAAACAAUGCAAAUUGUACCCUCGAAAUUAAACACCAUCAUUCCG